rnacentral:rRNA from 1 species
CCUACGGGUGGCAGCAGUCGAGAAUCAUUCACAAUGGGGGAAACCCUGAUGGUGCGACGCCGCGUGGGGGAAUGAAGGUCUUCGGAUUGUAAACCCCUGUCAUGUGGGAGCAAAUUAAAAAGAUAGUACCACAAUAGGAAGAGACGGCUAACUCUGUGCCAGCAGCCGCGGUAAGACAGAGGUCUCAAGCGUUGUUCGGAAUCACUGGGCGUAAAGCGUGCGUAGGCUGUUGCGUAAGUCGUGUGUGAAAGGCGCGGGCUCAACCCGCGGACGGCGCAUGAUACUGCGAGACUAGAGUAAUGGAGGGGGAACCGGAAUUCUCGGUGUAGCAGUGAAAUGCGUAGAUAUCGAGAGGAACACUCGUGGCGAAGGCGGGUUGCUGGACAUUAACUGACGCUGAGGCACGAAGGCCAGGGGAGCGAAAGGGAUUAGAUACCCCUGUAGUC